rnacentral:tRNA from 1 species
GUCCAGAGAUGGGAAUCGAACCCACAGUGUUCCGCUUACCGGGCAAAUGCCAUGUCCACUAGGCUACCCUGGA